rnacentral:lncRNA from 1 species
AGAGAGCAAAGAACAGACAGGAUCGCCCACAUCAAAAUUGACAGGCAUCAUGGUUCCUGGAACCAUCGGUUUGUAAAUCCUUUGAGCUGUAUUAAAGGAUUUUCAAUGUUCCUGGAACCAUCGGUUUGUAAAUCCUUUGACAUUGAAAAUUGACAGAGCAAAGCUGACACCAUCGGUUUGUAAAUCCUUUGACCUGUAUUAACAUUUUUGCCUGCUUGUAAUUCUCUGUUUUGGUAAUUGGCCCUGUAACAUUGAAG